AUUUCCCCAAACGCAGGCGCUCGGUGGCGGUAGCCGCGGUUGUUGGCCGACCGAGUGCCGGUCAUAAGCCCCCCCCGGUGGGGGGCAGCUGGUGUGCGGAUCGCGGCGGGAGAGAGGCGCGGUAGGAACGGGUCCCCGGAGCCGUGAACCGCGGGUACAGGUGUCCUGUCUGCGCUCUCUGCCAAGCCGGCUUGCUUCCUGAUCUGUUGCUAGGGCCGCUGGACCCCGUUGCUAAGGACCCUUGAGAUCGUGAGCGCUUGGAGUGUACCCCUCCUUUCCUGGGGUAGAGGGUCAGUCGAGAGUAGCCUUCGUUAACCUUAAUUGAAACUGUUUGUUACAGGAACAACUUUUUGACGUGAAGGAAGAUAGAAAUUUAGCCAUAAAAUUCCAUCCAAAACUUCCACUGAAUUGGAGUGAAAGGGAAGCAAUGCAGAAAUCAGAGGGCUCUGGAGGUACACAGUUGAAAAACAGAGCAACAGGUAACUAUGAUCAAAGGACAUCAUCAAGCACACAGUUAAAACACAGGAAUGCAGUUCAGGGAAGCAAAUCCUCAUUGUCAACCAGUUCUCCAGAGUCUGCAAGAAAACUUCAUCCUAGACCAAGUGAUAAACUGAACCCUAAAACAAUUAAUCCGUUUGGUGAACAGUCACGAGUGCCUUCUGCAUUUGCAGCUAUUUACUC
rnacentral:lncRNA from 10 species